ACGAGACGGGAUGGAAUGACCCUUCGGGGGAAUGAAAUCCUAGAAAGUGGCGAACGGGUGAGUAACGCGUGGGUAACCUGCCCUAUGGAAAGGAAUAGCCUCGGGAAACUGGGAGUAAUGCCUUAUAAUAUACGAGAGUCGCAUGGCUUUUGUAUUAAACGCUCCGGUGCCAUAGGAUGGACCCGCGUCCCAUUAGCUAGUUGGUGAGAUAACAGCCCACCAAGGCAACGAUGGGUAACCGGUCUGAGAGGGCGAACGGUCACACUGGAACUGAGACACGGUCCAGACUCCUACGGGAGGCAGCAGUGGGGAAUAUUGCGCAAUGGGGGCAACCCUGACGCAGCAAUACCGCGUGAGUGAAGAAGGUUUUCGGAUCGUAAAGCUCUGUUAUUGGGGAAGAAAAAAGACGGUACCCAAGAAGAAAGUCCCGGCUAACUACGUGCCAGCAGCCGCGGUAAUACGUAGGGGACAAGCGUUGUCCGGAUUUACUGGGCGUAAAGGGCACGCAGGCGGUUUUUUAAGUCAGAUGUGAAAGGUACCGGCUCAACCGGUGACAUGCAUUUGAAACUGAAAGACUUGAGUAUUGGAGAGGCAAGUGGAAUUCCUAGUGUAGCGGUGAAAUGCGUAGAUAUUAGGAGGAACAC
rnacentral:rRNA from 1 species